UGGCGGACGGGUGAGUAACGCGUGAGGAACCUGCCUUUCAGAGGGGGACAACAGUUGGAAACGACUGCUAAUACCGCAUAACGUACGGGUAUCGCAUGGUACUGGUACCAAAGAUUUAUCGCUGAGAGAUGGCCUCGCGUCUGAUUAGCUAGUUGGUAGGGUAACGGCCUACCAAGGCGACGAUCAGUAGCCGGACUGAGAGGUUGGCCGGCCACAUUGGGACUGAGAUACGGCCCAGACUCCUACGGGAGGCAGCAG
rnacentral:rRNA from 1 species